UGGGGAAUAUUGCACAAUGGGGGAAACCCUGAUGCAGCAACGCCGCGUGAAGGAAGACGGUCUUCGGAUUGUAAACUUUUGUUCUUGGUGAAGAAAAAUGACGGUAGCCAAGGAGGAAGCCACGGCUAACUACGUGCCAGCAGCCGCGGUAAUACGUAGGUGGCAAGCGUUGUCCGGAAUUACUGGGUGUAAAGGGAGCGCAGGCGGGAAAUCAAGUUGGAUGUGAAAUGUCGGGGCUUAACCCCGGAACUGCAUCCAAAACUGAUAUUCUUGAGUGAAGUAGAGGUAGGCGGAAUUCCGAGUGUAGCGGUGAAAUGCG
rnacentral:rRNA from 1 species